CGUUUACAUCGUCUCCAUUGCAUUGACGGAAAUGAUUUAAAAUCCCAGUGUCAACACCUUAUUCUUGUUGAAGUCGAUUUGAUAAAAAUGAUGUCGAUGGCGAUGCGGAUCUUUAGAAAUCUUAAACCAAUACCCUGUGGUCCUUUAGUGUACUCCAUCCAGCGAGCACUACAAUGGUGGAUUUGGGACACCCAUUAUGACCAAGGACCUGGGUCUUGCUCAAAACGCAGUGACGUCAGUGAAAUCACCGACACCACAUGGGUCACUUUCUCAUCAGAUUUACCGCACCAUGACUAAUCACUGGUUUGGUGGAAAAGACGACUCGUCUGCUUUUAUUAUUGCCUUAUUAGAACAAGCAAAAUAAAUGAUAAAUAACAUCAGUAUGUACUAAUGUGUUUUACUAAAUCUUAAUACUAAAAAUUAUGUAAAUAGAUGAAUAGUGUU